rnacentral:sRNA from 1 species
UAAACUUAAUAUAAAUAACAAUAUUAUUAUUAUUAUUGCAUGACUCUACACAUGACCUUUUACCUGAACAUUUUUCUUUGAAUGAAUAGAAACGUGAUGAACAGAUAAUUUAAUAUUCCCAGCAUCCAUCAAAAAAAAAA